GACGAACGCUGGCGGCGUGCUUAACACAUGCAAGUCGAACGGAAAGGCCCUGCUUUUGUGGGGUGCUCGAGUGGCGAACGGGUGAGUAACACGUGAGUAACCCGCCCUUGACUUUGGGAUAACUUCAGGAAACUGGGGCUAAUACCGGAUAGGAGCUCCUGCUGCAUGGUGGGGGUUGGAAAGUUUCGGCGGUUGGGGAUGGACUCGCGGCUUAUCAGCUUGUUGGUGGGGUAGUGGCUUACCAAGGCUUUGACGGGUAGCCGGCCUGAGAGGGUGACCGGCCACAUUGGGACUGAGAUACGGCCCAGACUCCUACGGGAGGCAGCAGUGGGGAAUAUUGCACAAUGGGCGGAAGCCUGAUGCAGCAACGCCGCGUGCGGGAUGACGGCCUUCGGGUUGUAAACCGCUUUCGCCUGUGACGAAGCGUGAGUGACGGUAAUGGGUAAAGAAGCACCGGCUAACUACGUGCCAGCAGCCGCGGUGAUACGUAGGGUGCGAGCGUUGUCCGGAUUUAUUGGGCGUAAAGGGCUCGUAGGUGGUUGAUCGCGUCGGAAGUGUAAUCUUGGGGCUUAACCCUGAGCGUGCUUUCGAUACGGGUUGACUUGAGGAAGGUAGGGGAGAAUGGAAUUCCUGGUGGAGCGGUGGAAUGCGCAUAUAUCAGGAGGAACACCAGUGGCGAAGGCGGUUCUCUGGGCCUUUCCUGACGCUGAGGAGCGAAAGCGUGGGGAGCGAACAGGCUUAGAUACCCUGGUAGUCCACGCUGUAAACGGUGGGUACUAGGUGUGGGGUCCAUUCCACGGGUUCCGUGCCGUAGCUAACGCUUUAAGUACCCCGCCUGGGGAGUACGGCCGCAAGGCUAAAACUCAAAGGAAUUGACGGGGCCCCGCACAAGCGGCGGAGCAUGCGGAUUAAUUCGAUGCAACGCGUAGAACCUUACCUGGGUUUGACAUGGAUCGGGAGCGCUCAGAGAUGGGUGUGCCUCUUUUGGGGUCGGUUCACAGGUGGUGCAUGGCUGUCGUCAGCUCGUGUCGUGAGAUGUUGGGUUAAGUCCCGCAACGAGCGCAACCCUUGUUCACUGUUGCCAGCACGUUAUGGUGGGGACUCAGUGGAGACCGCCGGGGUCAACUCGGAGGAAGGUGGGGAUGACGUCAAGUCAUCAUGCCCCUUAUGUCCAGGGCUUCACGCAUGCUACAAUGGCUGGUACAGAGAGUGGCGAGCCUGUGAGGGUGAGCGAAUCUCGGAAAGCCGGUCUCAGUUCGGAUUGGGGUCUGCAACUCGACCUCAUGAAGUCGGAGUCGCUAGUAAUCGCAGAUCAGCAACGCUGCGGUGAAUACGUUCCCGGGGCU
rnacentral:rRNA from 1 species